rnacentral:lncRNA from 1 species
UUUUUUCUUUAAAGACUGUGAUUUUCUUGGGACCAGGGACUAUGACAUACUUAUUACUCCCAGGCUGGGCAUGGUGGUUGAUACCUGUAAUCCCAACACUGUGGGAGACCAAGGCGGGAAGACUGCUUGAGCCCGGAGUUCAAGGCCAGCCUGGGCAAUAUAGCAAGACCUCAUCUCUACAUUAAUUAAUUAAUUACUUAAAGAAAUACUUAUUACUCCUGGACCCCUUAAAGUGUGGUCCAAUGGCAGGCACAGAAAAUGGCCAAUAAGUAGUUUUGGGGUUGGCUGGACCAUUCAACAGUGGCUCCUGGGCAAAUGUUAGGAUAAAAGCACAAUGGAAGUAUCUCUGCAUAUGUGAAGAUCUAGAGAUGAAAAUUCUACUAUUGUCCUAAUAGAACCUAAAACUCCUAUGUUGAUACCCAGUCACCAAAGUGAUGGUAUUAGAAAAUAGGGACUUUAGGAGGUGACUAGGUCAUGAGGGCUCCGUCCUCAUGAAUGGGGUUCAUGUCCUUAUGAAAGAGGCCCCAGAGAGCUGCCUUCGCUUCCGCCAUGUGAGGAUGAAGUGAGAAGGCGCCAUCUAUGAAGCAGAGAACCCUCAAAUGUACAUGUACCCCUGAACUUAAAAGAUGAAAAGAAAAAUAAAUUGAUGUUCAAGUUUGUCACAGGUGACCCUUAAAGUCCUCCUAAUGGCUUGACUACUUUGUCUUUUAGUCUACAGGACUUUGAAGAAGGAAGGAAAUAACUAACCCAGCAAACCAGAACCUGAUGCUAUAAUAAUUGUAAUAGUUAACAUGUUAAGCACUUUACAUGUAUUUCCUAAUUUAAUCCUACACCAACCUAUCAGAUUUAUAUAUAUAUAUAUAUUCUUUUUGAGAUGGAGUUUCUCUCUUGUUGCUCACGCUGGAGUGCAAUGGUGUUAUCACGGCUCAUUGCAAACUCCGCCUCCCAGUUUCAAGUGAUUCUCCUGCCUCAGCCUCCCACGUAGCUGGGAUUACAGGCAUGUGCCACCAUGCCCGGCUAAUUUUGCAUUUUUAGUAAGGAUGGGGUUUCAUCAUGUUGGUCAGGCUGGUCUCAAACUCCUGACCUCAGGUGAUCUGCUCACCUCGGCCUCCCAAAGUGCUGGGAUUACAGGCAUGAGCCACCGCGCCCAGCCAACAAAUAUAUAUUUUUAAAUGGAGGUGAGCUGCAUUACAGAAUUACAAGUAUAGUACUAGUUAAUU